GUGUGGGAUAGCUCAGUUGGUAGAAUAUGAGGCUCUUAAUCUCAGGGUCAUGGGUUCAAGUUCCACAUCAAGCA